rnacentral:rRNA from 1 species
GCUGACGAGUGGCGGACGGGUGAGUAAUGUCUGGGAAACUGCCUGAUGGAGGGGGAUAACUACUGGAAACGGUAGCUAAUACCGCAUAACGUCGCAAGACCAAAGAGGGGGACCUUCGGGCCUCUUGCCAUCGGAUGUGCCCAGAUGGGAUUAGCUAGUAGGUGGGGUAACGGCUCACCUAGGCGACGAUCCCUAGCUGGUCUGAGAGGAUGACCAGCCACACUGGAACUGAGACACGGUCCAGACUCCUACGGGAGGCAGCAGUGGGGAAUAUUGCACAAUGGGCGCAAGCCUGAUGCAGCCAUGCCGCGUGUAUGAAGAAGGCCUUCGGGUUGUAAAGUACUUUCAGCGGGGAGGAAGGGAGUAAAGUUAAUACCUUUGCUCAUUGACGUUACCCGCAGAAGAAGCACCGGCUAACUCCGUGCCAGCAGCCGCGGUAAUACGGAGGGU